AUCAGAAGUGCGAAUGCUGACAUAAGUAACGAUAAAGCGGGUGAAAAGCCCGCUCGCCGGAAGACCAAGGGUUCCUGUCCAACGUUAAUCGGGGCAGGGUGAGUCGACCCCUAAGGCGAGGCCGAAAGGCGUAGUCGAUGGGAAACGGGUUAAUAUUCCCGUACUUGGUGUUACUGCGAAGGGGGGACGGAGAAGGCUAUGUUGGCCGGGCGACGGUUGUCCCGGUUUAAGCGUGUAGGUGUGUGUUCCAGGUAAAUCCGGUUCACUUUAACACUGAGGCGUGACGACGAGGCACUACGGUGCUGAAGCAACAAAUGCCCUGCUUCCAGGAAAAGCCUCUAAGCAUCAGGUAACAUCAAAUCG
rnacentral:rRNA from 1 species